UACGUAGGUGGCAAGCGUUGUUCGGAAUUAUUGGGCGUAAAGGGCGCGUAGGCGGUUUGUUAAGUCGGUUGUGAAAGUCCGGGGCUCAACUCCGGAUCUGCGGUGGGUACGGGCAGACUAGAGUGAUGUAGGGGAGACUGGAAUUCCUGGUGUAGCGGUGAAAUGCGCAGAUAUCAGGAGGAACACCGAUGGCGAAGGCAGGUCUCUGGGCAUUAACUGACGCUGAGGAGCGAAAGCAUGGGGAGCGAACAGG
rnacentral:rRNA from 1 species